UGAGGAAUAUUGGUCAAUGGGCGAGAGCCUGAACCAGCCAAGUCGCGUGAAGGAAGACUGCCUUAUGGGUUGUAAACUUCUUUUAUACAGGAAUAAAAAGGCUUACGUGUAGGCCAUUGCAAGUACUGUAUGAAUAAGCAUCGGCUAACUCCGUGCCAGCAGCCGCGGUAAUACGGAGGAUGCGAGCGUUAUCCGGAUUUAUUGGGUUUAAAGGGUGCGCAGGCGGGCUUUUAAGUCAGCGGUGAAAUCUGGACGCUUAACGUCCAAACUGCCGUUGAAACUGGGAGUCUUGAGUAUGGAUGAAGUAGGCGGAAUUCGUUGUGUAGCGGUGACAUGCAUAGAUAUAACGAGGAACUCCGAUUGCGUAGGCAGCUUACUAAGCCAUAACUGACGCUCAUGCACGAAAGCGUGGGGAUCAAACAGGAUUAGAUACCCUGGUAGUCCACGCCGUAAAACGAUGAUUACUAGUUGUAUGCGAUAUGAUAGUAUGUGACUAAGCGAAAAGCGAUAAGUAAUCCACCUGGGGAGUACGCCGGCAACGGUGAAACUCAAAGGAAUUGACGGGGUCAUAGCUGUUUCCUG
rnacentral:rRNA from 1 species